UUAUUACUCCCUCCGUCCCGAAAUACUUGUUGGGAAAAUGGAUAAAAUUGGAUGCAUCUAUAACUAAAAUAUGUCUAGAUUCAUCCAUUUCUCCGACAAGUAUUUUCGGACAGAGGGAGUAUGUU
rfam:Triticum aestivum genome assembly, contig: Triticum_aestivum_CS42_TGACv1_scaffold_569208_7AS